rnacentral:rRNA from 1 species
AGAGAUGUGAUUAAGUUUUCACUGCCAGCACAAGAAUACCCUGAACUUAAUGGUGCCCUCUCCAGCAACCUCCGAACGCAUACAAGAGAUCCAGGAAAUGGCGACGUCCGUGUAGGUCCGGGCUAUUUGAUGAAAAUGUUGGAGCAGUUGUGCGGCGCGGCUCCUGCAGAACACGGUGACCCGAAGCACCAGCAACCCAUCAUGUACAUUGUCCCCGAGGAACUUAAAAACUUGGAUCAUAACCCCAGCGGAGAAUAUGAGCCGGUUGCUGUUCGUCUGGGCGGGCCCAAGAUUUAUCAUCGGUGGGCAAUUCAGGACAGGGAAAGCUUGCUGAAGAUGGAAGGAUACAAAUGGAGCUGUGUGCGGCAGCUCAUCAACCGGCACAAGAGCCUCUUGGAACCUGCCAGAACUCUGGUGCUACUGGACGGGUGUUUAACGAGCAUGAAACGACUCGUGCCUUGAAUUCGGGCUUCCUACUCUCAACCCACCCUCCAAGAAAAUAAGGUGGCAGAGAUGAUGCUGCUGGACGGCUCCUUCAUCCUACAUCGCUUGCUCAAAUACGCGCGCCUCGCGAAAAUGGAAGAGGCUGGUUUAGGGUUUGACGAGGAGGAAGACGAUGAGGACUGGACUCAGGUCUACGGCAGGUGCUUUGUGUGGCAGUUCGUGACGCGCGACUUGCUGCUGCUGGAGAACCAGAUACCGUUCUUCGUGGUCCGGGAGCUCUUUCAGCAGCUGAGGAACGAGGACGAGCCCGAAGAGCUCCUCGUGACCGGCAGCCUCAGGCUUUUCCGGCCUCUUCGUCCCCAAAGGCUGCACCGCUCACCCAUUGCUUGCGAUGACGUGCACCACCUGCUGCACCUCUUCUACCUCUCCGUCACCUUACCGCCGACGAAUGAGCGCCAGCAGCAUUCCCGCCGUCGCCGCCGAAACGACGAGCUGCUGCCGGAGCUCCCGCAGUGGAUCCCGUGCGCCAAGGAGCUGGAGGAGGCGGGGGUCCGGUUCCGGAAGAGGAAGGACGCCAUGAGCUUCAUGGACGUGAGGUUCGCGCGGGGCGUCCUAGAGAUCCCGCAGCUGGAGCUCAACGACUCGAGCGAGUCGUUGUUCCGGAACCUGAUCGCGUUCGAGCAGACCUAUCCGGACACCCCGCGGGACGUCUCCACCUAUGCCGUCUUCAUGGACUGCCUCAUCACCUCGGCGGAGGACAUGAGGAUCCUGGACCUGCACGGCGUCCUCGUCAGCCAUCUCAACAGCAGAAGGGUCGCCUGGCGAUUCUUCAGCGAUGUCGUCGGGCAGGUGCACUGGUCCGCCGACAACUACCUGCUCGGCCUGAUGGAUGCUGUGAAUAGGUACAGGAACCUCAGGCGGCACAAGUGGCGUGCGGCGCUUGCACGCAACUACUUCAGCAAUCCCUGGGUGACCAUGUCGGUGCUUGCGGCCCUGCUCCUGUUAGCCUUUUCCGUGCUGCAGACAUUCUUCGCUGUCUACGCCUACUUCAAGCCUCCCAAGUAA